rnacentral:rRNA from 1 species
UACGUAGGGGGCGAGCGUUGUCCGGAAUUAUUGGGCGUAAAGCGCGUGUAGGCGGCCAGAUAAGUCCGCUGUGAAAUCUCGAGGCUCAACUUCGAGCUGUCGGUGGAAACUGUCUGGCUAGAGUCCGGAAGAGGAGAAUGGAAUUCCUGGUGUAGCGGUGAAAUGCGCAGAUAUCAGGAAGAACACCCGUGGCGAAGGCGGUUCUCUGGGACGGUACUGACGCUGAGACGCGAAAGCGUGGGGAGCGAACAGG